UGCAUAUCCCCAAAAGCGGAGGAAAAGAAACUAACAAGGAUUCCCCUAGUAACUGCGAGUGAAGCGGGAAAAGCUCAAAUUUAAAAUCUGGUGGUCUUUGGCCAUCCGAGUUGUAAUCUAGAGAAGUGUCAUCCGCGCUGGACCGUGUACAAGUCCCCUGGAAUGGGGCGUCAUAGAGGGUGAGAAUCCCGUCUUUGACACGGACUACCAGGGCUUUGUGAUGCACUCUCAAAGAGUCGAGUUGUUUGGGAAUGCAGCUCAAAAUGGGUGGUAAAUUCCAUCUAAAGCUAAAUAUUGGCGAGAGACCGAUAGCGAACAAGUACCGUGAGGGAAAGAUGAAAAGAACUUUGGAAAGAGAGUUAAACAGUACGUGAAAUUGUUGAAAGGGAAACGCUUGAAGUCAGUCGCGUCAGCCAGGGAUCAACCUUACUCUUUUGUGUGGUGUACUUCCUGGUUGAUGGGUCAGCAUCAGUUUUGGUUGCUGGAUAAAGGUCAGAGAAAUGUGGCACCUCCGGGUGUGUUAUAGUCUCUGGUCAGAUACAGUGACUGGGACUGAGGAACUCAGCUCCGCAAGGAUGUCUUAGGAUGCUGGCAAAAUGGCUUUAAUCGACCCGUCUUGAAACACGGCAAAGGGGAGUCA
rnacentral:rRNA from 1 species